AUGUCGCCCUCAAUUACCUUGACCGCGGUGGCCACGGGCAUUGCAGUGGCCACGGGAACUGCGGAGCUUGUGAGGGGCACCGCGGACGUGAUCUCCUACAUGAGGGACAAGCGCUGCCGAGAAUGCAGCAUGAUGGUGAAGCAGCGGGAGAUUGUCAAGCAUCUGGAAGACCACCUGGAGCAAAACCAGCUACUGUUCGCAGAUGAGAAGGCAGAGCUGCAGAGCAAGCUGGAGCGUAUGGCUGACGCUGAGAGCAAGCACACAGAGGAAAAGGUUGAGCUGAAAGAAGAAAUCGCUCAUCUUGAGAAGACGCUCAAAGAGGAAAAGGAAGAGCUCCUUCACAAGAUUGAGCUCUUGUAA
rnacentral:rRNA from 1 species